rnacentral:rRNA from 1 species
AGCUGGUCUGAGAGGAUGACCAGCCACACUGGAACUGAGACACGGUCCAGACUCCUACGGGAGGCAGCAGUGGGGAAUAUUGGACAAUGGGGGCAACCCUGAUCCAGCAAUGCCGCGUGUGUGAAGAAGGCCUGAGGGUUGUAAAGCACUUUCAGUGGGGAGGAGGGUUGAUAGGUUAAGAGCUGAUUAACUGGACGUUACCCACAGAAGAAGCACCGGCUAACUCCGUGCCAGCAGCCGCGGUAAUACGGAGGGUGCGAGCGUUAAUCGGAAUUACUGGGCGUAAAGGGUGCGUAGGUGGUUGAUUAAGUUAUCUGUGAAAUUCCUGGGCUUAACCUGGGACGGUCAGAUAAUACUGGUUGACUCGAGUAUGGG